UACAGAGGGUGCGAGCGUUGUUCGGAAUUACUGGGCGUAAAGCGCGCGCAGGCGGCCUUUUUAAGUCUGCUGGUGAAAUGCCGGGGCUCAACCCCGUGCCCGCCACAGAUACUGGAAGGCUGGAGACGAGUAGAGGCAAGCGGAAUUCCGGGUGUAGCAGUGAAAUGCGUAGAGAUCGGGGAGGAACAUCUGUGGCGAAGGCGGCCAUCUGGGACCAGCACUGACACUGGAGGCACGAAAAGCGUUGGGGGAGCCAAAACGGGG
rnacentral:rRNA from 1 species